GAAUGAAGGAAGCAAGAUAAUGAGGACAAAAAUUGUGUCGCGUCUAUAGGUAUGCCCUUUUUGAUGCCUUUUGGUUAUGAUUUGGGGGCAUAGUUCCGCCGCAGAAUG